UACAGAGGGUGCGAGCGUUGUUCGGAAUUACUGGGCGUAAAGAGCUCGUAGGUGGUUUGUCGCGUUGUUCGUGAAAACCGGGGGCUUAACCCUCGGCGUGCGGGCGAUACGGGCAGACUUGAGUACUGCAGGGGAGACUGGAAUUCCUGGUGUAGCGGUGGAAUGCGCAGAUAUCAGGAGGAACACCGGUGGCGAAGGCGGGUCUCUGGGCAGUAACUGACGCUGAGGAGCGAAAGCGUGGGGAGCGAACAGG
rnacentral:rRNA from 1 species